rnacentral:antisense_RNA from 1 species
GCGCCGUGUACGCCCACGUGCCCGCUUCGCCGACCAGGCCCUCGUCGCCGAAGAAGUCGCGGUCCGCGAGCAGGCCGAGGCGCCCCUCGUUGCCGUACUUGCCCUGGAUCCGCCGGGAGACCUUGCCGUGCGCGAUCAGCACCGCGUACUCGGCCGCGGCGCCGGCCUCCACGAUGACCUCGCCGGCCGAGUACUCGCGCUGCUCGCACCGGCCGGCCAGCGCCGCGAGCGUCUCGGCGUCGUCGAACUCGUGCAGCAGCGGGAGCUCGGCGAGCUCCUCGGGCACCACGCUCACCCGGUCCCCGAUGUUGGAGAAGGUGAGCUUGCCGUCGCCCACCACGAACGACAGGCGGCGGUUGACCCGGUAGGUGCCGCCGUUGACCUGCACCCAGGGCAGCACCUUGAGCAGCCAGCGGGAGGAGAUCCCCUGCAUCUGCGGGGGCGUCUUCGUCGUGGUGGCGAGGUUGCGCGCCGCGUCGGUGCUCAGGGACUGGCGUGCCGACG